rnacentral:rRNA from 1 species
UGGGUAACCUGCCUCAAAGAGGGGAAUAGCCUCCCGAAAGGGAGAUUAAUACCGCAUAAUAUGUUUAAGUCGCAUGACUUUAACAUCAAAGGAUUUUCUUUUAAGAAAUUCCACUUUGAGAUGGACCCGCGGCGCAUUAGCUAGUUGGUGAGGUAACGGCUCACCAAGGCAACGAUGCGUAGCCGACCUGAGAGGGUGACCGGCCACAUUGGAACUGAGACACGGUCCAGACUCCGUACGGGAGCAG